UACGUAGGGUGCAAGCGUUUAAUCGGAAUUACUGGGCGUAAAGCGUGCGCAGGCGGUUUUGUAAGUCUGUCGUGAAAUCCCCGGGCUCAACCUGGGAAUUGCGAUGGAGACUGCAAGGCUAGAAUCUGGCAGAGGGGGGUAGAAUUCCACGUGUAGCAGUGAAAUGCGUAGAGAUGUGGAGGAACACCGAUGGCGAAGGCAGCCCCCUGGGUCAAGAUUGACGCUCAUGCACGAAAGCGUGGGGAGCAAACGAG
rnacentral:rRNA from 1 species